UACAGAGGUCUCAAGCGUUGUUCGGAUUCAUUGGGCGUAAAGGGUGCGUAGGUGGCGCCGUAAGUCGGGUGUGAAAUUUCGGAGCUUAACUCCGAAACUGCAUUCGAUACUGCGGUGCUUGAGGACUGGAGAGGAGACUGGAAUUCAUGGUGUAGCAGUGAAAUGCGUAGAGAUCAUGAGGAAGACCAGUGGCGAAGGCGGGUCUCUGGACAGUUCCUGACACUGAGACACGAAGGCCAGGGGAGCAAAACGGG
rnacentral:rRNA from 1 species